UGGGGAAUUUUGGACAAUGGGCGAAAGCCUGAUCCAGCAAUGCCGCGUGUGUGAAGAAGGCCUUCGGGUUGUAAAGCACUUUUGUCCGGAAAGAAAUCCUUGGCUCUAAUACAGUCGGGGGAUGACGGUACCGGAAGAAUAAGCACCGGCUAACUACGUGCCAGCAGCCGCGGUAAUACGUAGGGUGCAAGCGUUAAUCGGAAUUACUGGGCGUAAAGCGUGCGCAGGCGGUUUGCUAAGGCCGAUGUGAAAUCCCCGGGCUCAACCUGGGAACUGCAUUGGGUGACUGGCAGGCUAGAGUAUGGCAGAGGGGGGUAGAAUUCCACGUGUGAGCAGUGAAAUGCGUAGAGAUGUGGAGGAAUACCGAUGGCGAAGGCAGCCCCCUGGGCCAAUACUGACGCUCAUGCACGAAAGCGUGGGGAGCAAACAGGAUUAGAUACCCUGGUAGUCCACGCCCUAAACGAUGUCAACU
rnacentral:rRNA from 1 species